GAUAAUAUUGCUGGAUUGUAUAGUGAGACUAUGAUUAACUUUGUAAGAAACUGCCAAACUUUUUUCCAAAGUGACUAUAAAAUUUUGCAUUCCCACAAGGAAU
rnacentral:pre_miRNA from 1 species